rnacentral:rRNA from 1 species
CAGUCGCCGCGGUAAUACGGAGGGAGCUAGCGUUGUUCGGAAUUACUGGGCGUAAAGCGCACGUAGGCGGCUUCGUAAGUUAGAGGUGAAAGCCUGGGGCUCAACUCCAGAAUUGCCUUUAAGACUGCAUCGCUUGAAUCAUGGAGAGGCGGGUGGAAUUCCGAGUGUAGAGGUGAAAUUCGUAGAUAUUCGGAAGAACACCAGUGGCGAAGGCGGCCCGCUGGACAUGUAUUGACGCUGAGGUGCGAAAGCGUGGGGAGCAAACAGGAUUAGAUACCCGGGUAGUCCCUGUCUCUUAUAC